GGGGGAAUUAAUAAAUAUAAUUAUAAUAAAAGAAAUUUUAAUAUUAAAAAUAUAUGGGGGUUAAAGUAUUUUUAAUAGAAAAAAUUUUAAUUUUUAUAGUUUAAUAGUAUUGUAAAAGAAAUUUGAAAUAAUUGAAAAUAAAAUUAUUUAAAAGUAAAUUUAUAUUAUUGUAUCUUGUGUAUCAGAGUUUAUUAAUAAAAAAUUUAUUUUUUAAAAUUCUCGAAUUUAAAAGAGUUAAUUAAUUAAAAAAUUUAUUGUUUCAUAAAUAUUUUAAAUAAUUAAUUAGAAAUGAAAUGUUAAUCGUUUUUAAAUAUAUCUAGUUUUUUUAGAAAAAAAUUUAAUUUUUAAUUAAAAUUAAAAAUUUAUUAAUUAAUUUAAAUAAAUUUUUAUUUUAAUUUAAUAUUUUAAGGGAUAAGCUUUAAAUUAAAUUUUUAUAAUAAAUAUUUUAUAUUUUAAAAAUUUUAUAAUUUAUAUUGUUAAUAAAUUUUAAUUUAUUAUAAAUAAUUUUAAAUUUAUUUAAAAUUUAAUUGAAAUUUAAUUUUUUAUAAAAAAAUAUUUUUUAAUAAAAUAAAUAUAGUUAUAAUGAUAAAAUUAGUAAAUUUAUAAAUUUAUUUUUAAUAAUUAAAUAAAUAAAAUUUAUUUUAUAAUAAUUAUUUUAAAGGAACUCGACAAAUUAAUUAUGAUAUUUAUUUUAAUAUUUUUAAAAUUAUAUUUUCAUAUUAUAUAUUCACCUGUUUAUCAAAAACAUGUCUUUUUGAAUUAAUAAUUUAAAGUCUAAUCUGCCCACUGAUAUUUAAUUAAAGGGCUGCAGUAUAUUGACUGUACAAAGGUAGCAUAAUCAUUAGUCUCUUAAUUGGUGACUUGUAUGAAAGAUUGGAUGAAAUAUAGAUUGUCUCUAUAAUAUUAAAUUGAAUUUAAUUUUUUAUUUAAAAAGUUAAAAUAUAUUAAAAAGACGAGAAGACCCUAUAGAGUUUUAUAAUUAAUUUAUUUUAAAUUAUGAAUUUAUGUAAAUUUUUAAAUUAAAUUAAUUAUUUUAUUGGGGUGAUAGAAAAAUUUAUUUAACUUUUUUUAUAAAUAAACAUAAAUAAGUGAUUUAUUGAUCCAGUAUUAUUGAUUAUAAGAAAAAAUUACCUUAGGGAUAACAGCGUAAUUUUUUUUUUUAGUACAAAUAAAAAAAAAAGUUUGCGACCUCGAUGUUGGAUUAAGAUAAAAUUUAGAUGCAAAAGUUUAAAAUUUUGAUCUGUUCGAUCAUUAAAAUCUUACAUGAUCUGAGUUCAAACCGGUGUAAGCCAGGUUGGUUUCUAUCUUUUAAUAUUUUUAAUAUUUUAGUACGAAAGGAUCAAAUAUUAUAAUUAAAUUAAUUUAUUUGAAUAUUAAUAAAUUUUAAUAAAUUUAUAUUU
rnacentral:rRNA from 1 species